CAUUACACUUUACACACUAAGAAAUUGUACCACUGAGAAUAUACUUAAUUCAGCGAUUUACUGCUCUAUCACGCAAUCCUUCAGAAGUUGCUUGAGGCUCUGCACCUUUCAGACACUGUAAUGCAGUGUGAUUUUUAACACAUGUUACAAUGAAUUUUCUUCUCUCCCUUUUCCUGUCAGUACAAUAUGUCUCUGUCUGUACCUCUCUCUCUGUCUCCUGACUGAAAAAUGAAGUAAAAUAUUUUUUUUCUCCUCUGGGUACACAGUGGCAUAUGGGAUGAAGAGCAAUGGAAAACUGGCUAAAACUUGAAUCAUUUACGUGAAAGGGUCCAAUGAAUACAUUCAGACUGAAAAAGGCAAUAAGUAGGUCUCUUCCUUUCAUCCUUAUUAUAUCUCACUUCCUUUCUUCCUCCCUUCACUGCCAAGCAAUUUUAUCUGUCUGUGUGUAGUGUGCCAGCUCCCCCCAGUGGUGCCUACAUGUUCUUUUACAACAGUCUGUUAUUAUAGAACACUGAUUGAACACAGCUUGUCGCUGGGUGCAGCCAAUCCACAUCAGUUUGAAAGAGACAGCAAUGCAGAUGAAAGUCUCAGUGCUGGUCUGUUUAAUUUACCUCAUCAUUUCUCCACACAGGACAACUGGGUCAUCCAGACAAACCCUGCACAGGAAUUAAGUGGCUCUAUGGAAAUGCUCACAGUGUGAGUUGUGAUUCUCUCUGCCACUUUGCUUCUCAGGGACAGCAUGACAGUUUGGCAUCAGCCUCAGCCUUGGGGUGAAAAUGGUGUCCUGCGGAAAAUCAGUUCUCCGAGAGAGGAACCAGAGCGGGCAGAGGGCCGGAUCAGAGGCUGAUGUGAAAGGAGUGAAAGAUGGGAUGUGCCAACCCCCUCCAUGCCUCUGUGCUUCUUUUUUCCUCUCCUCCUGUAUCGGCAGACUGGGAAACAGAUGAUCAUCCUUUGAACCCAUUACUCAGCCUGAUCCUCUUAUCAUAACCAACCUUCCUGAGUCUCUAAUUUGGGGUCUGCCAAACUCUGCUCUGUGUACAAUGUGGCUUUCGUCUCCAUCCUGCUGUGUUUUUUUCAACGCUGGUGCGAGGGAGGGGAGUCAAAAGAAAACGAGAAAGAAAGAGGCAGAGAGAGAGAGAGAGAAAAGAGGUAGAGAGAGGGAUUGUCUGCACACAUUUGCACACCUGUCUCUGGGGAUCUUCUACCAAUCUGAAAUAAGACAAGUCUGUGGGUGGGUCAGCAUUCUUGGAACACAGUGAACAACUCAUAAAGGCGACAUCUCCAGCUACCUACUCCCCACACCUUUCCAAGGACGACUCAUUCUUUCUCUGCUCUCUUUCUCACUCUGUCCGUGUCCUGCUAAUAUCACAAUCCCACACGGGUAGAGGCACAUGUUGUUUAGUAAAUUACACUAUGGGGGGUUUUGGUCAGUUAAAGGCGAUCAGAAUGUCCCCCACCAACAAUGCCUUUGUGCAGUAGCCUGCCACUGUAGGGAAUACAUCACACCGCCUCAUUGUUCUGUGGCAGCAUAUCAAAUGCUGCAAGCAAAACAAUAGGGGGAAUGAUGCAUGCUUACCAUCCAUCGAGGGUAUACAUGAUGUAAACAAAUAACUGUCUUCAUUUACAUCAUAAUUGCCUCCUGUCUCAUUCUGUUAUUCCAUUACUGUCAAUGAGAAGGUCACUAUACAAUGAUCUAUAGAGAUGACGGUGAGCACAAUUCACACAUUCAGUUCACACAUACAUGAUUUACACACAAAAUUCCACAUAUGUUCAUACACAUGCACAGAAAAUACAGAGGGAGCUCUACACCGAGCAGGGAAUCAAUUACUCACUGAGCUGCAUAUUUUUGGGGAUCAAAGGAUCACACACCUUUGUAUGCCUGUGUGCUGGGGCAUGUACUAAAAAUGUACCAGUUAACUCAGUCUGAUACAUCAGAGAAACAAAUGCAGAUUUGCAUUCCCCCAAAGAACAUUUUAGACACUUACAUCAGAAAUACCCUGAAAGGCACAAAAACAGAUAGAAUUGGCUGCACAUUUUUUUCCUAUUACUUUUGCAAUCGGAUGAAAUAUAUCCUGCUUCACGAACA